UACGUAGGGACCAAGCGUUGUUCGGAAUCACUGGGCGUAAGGGUGCGUAGGCGGGUCUUUAAGUCAGGGGUGAAAAUCCUGGAGCUCAACUCCAGAACUGCCUUUGAUACUGGGGAUCUCGAGUCCGGAAGAGGUUGGUGGAACUGCGAGUGUGAGAGGUGAAAUUCGUAGAUAUUCGCAAGAACACCAGUGGCGAAGGCGGCCAACUGGUCCGGUACUGACGCUGAGGUGCGAAAGCGUGGGGAGCAAACAGG
rnacentral:rRNA from 1 species